rnacentral:rRNA from 1 species
UACAGGGGGGGCAAGCGUUGUUCGGAAUUACUGGGCGUAAAGGGCUCGUAGGCGGCCAACUAAGUCAGACGUGAAAUCCCUCGGCUUAACCGGGGAACUGCGUCUGAUACUGGAUGGCUUGAGAUUGGGAGAGGGAUGCGGAAUUCCAGGUGUAGCGGUGAAAUGCGUAGAUAUCUGGAGGAACACCGGUGGCGAAGGCGGCAUCCUGGACCAACACUGACGCUGAGGAGCGAAAGCCAGGGGAGCAAACGGG